rnacentral:rRNA from 1 species
AGUGAACGCUGGCGGCGUGCCUAAUACAUGCAAGUCGAACGAAGUGGCGCACGGGUGAGUAAUAUAUAGUUAAUCUGCCCUACACAGAGGAACAACAGUUGGAAACGACUGCUAAUAACCCAUAGUGUAGGAUGAGACUAUAUCGUAUCAGCUAGUUGGUAAGGUAAUGGCGUACCAAGGCUAUGACGCGUAACUGGUCGGAGAGGAUGAUCAGUCGCAUUGGAAGGGAGGCACGGUCCAGGAUCCUUCGGGAAGGAGCGGUAAGGAAUAUUGGGCAAUGGGAGAGACCCUGACACAGCAACGCGGCGUGGAGGAUUACACGUUGCGGAGCGUAAGCUCCUGUUAACAGGAAAGCGGUACCGGAUGAAGAAGCACCGGCUAACUCCGUGCCAGCAGCCGCGGUAAUAC